GCUUAUUAGACUUCGUUCGUUAUCCUAAACCUCACUGUGGGCUUAAUAUAGAUCGAAUCUUGAGAUAUCAAAUUCUAACAAUCUCCACUUCGACUCGAUAUUUGAUCUCUUCCUAACUCUAAGAGCUUCUGGAUCUCCUCAUCUCCAUGUCCUGGGGCAAUCGCCUACGGAUCAUGGAUGGACAAACAUGAGAGUCGAGCCAAGCCGCUCGAUCUCAUCUCCUUCAUAUGCU
rnacentral:lncRNA from 1 species